UAACAUUGCAUUUCAAGAAGGAAGAAGGAAAAAAAACUCUUUAGAGGAAAACUGGGAAAAGGAAAUGAAAAUGUAGAAAAGAGACUAGUCUUCCUUGGGAGUGUUGGAUUCCUCCUCUUCAACAGCAUCUUCCUUGAUUUCAACCUUCUUCUUCCUUAUGAUCAUUCAUCCAAGCCUGAAGUCGCGAUAUCACAGCCCUUGCCUCCUCCAUUGAAGCAUGCUCUUUGUAGUUCUAACGCCUAGCUAUCAGGGCAGAACUACCUCUGGAACCGAAGGAGUAUGAAUAUUAUUUGAGAGGGGCAACGGGCGAGCUUUCUCCCACCAAGAUAAGAACUCUCAAUUCAUGUAGGCAUGUUUCUCUUCACUAAGCCAUCUUUUUUGGAUUUGGUCCUCUCUUCCCAUGUCAAUGUAACAGAUCUAAGGAGGUCAAAGGAACAAGGAACCACAUGAUAAAUGGAUCUACGAUAUGCAUUGUUACAAAGACGAGUCGCAAGCAAAUUGAAAUUUCCUGAGCACCCUGUGGGAAAAGUAGUGCUCCACAAAGUCUUGAGCCCGGAGAACUAUGUUAGAGUCACUAUGAUGAGGGAGUGUCAAGAUAGCGUCUUUUAACCCAUGAAAGACCCACUAGAACUCUU
rnacentral:lncRNA from 1 species